rnacentral:tRNA from 1 species
AAGCCCCGGGGCCGCCACGGCCCUUCUUCAAAGUUGCAUUUUGACGUGAACCACCUCGAGACU